ACAAUGAUACUUCCGUAACUCGCGGCUCGGUCAUAAAGAAGACGGAGAGGUGAAAGCCCUAUG
rnacentral:ncRNA from 1 species